GCCAGCCAUCAGCUCUGCUCUCUGGACAUCAGUCCUCCCCUCCACCAGCCAGACCUCAGUCGCCUGCCGAUCCACCAGCCAGACCUCAGUCCUCUGCUUCCCUGACACCCCUGCUACCUGUGGAACCACUGUACUUUUUUCCAGAUGAGAAGGUGGUGUUUGAGGAGGUUGUGUUGGAGGAUGUACCGGAGGAAGAUAAUGAUAUCUUCAACCAGUUCACACCACAGGAAGAAACACACUCCCCGGAUGAGGGACCUUCCACCUCCAAUAUAAAUCUGUGACAUUCACUGACUUGAUCACAGUGCCACAAAGGGAGAGAGCCAUCAGAAAACGUAUGAAGCCACCCUCAUAUAAUCUUUCAAGUGAGGAACACAUUGACUAUAUCACAAAAAAAACAUCCAGCAAGAAACCAGCAAAGCAAGCCAGCAAGUGCCCGCUCAGCAAGCAACCAAAAGGGAAAAGAAAGCAGGAAAAGAAAAGCAAGUCACCUUGCAAAGUUUGCAACACCCAUUAAGGAUCCAAAGGCUACUGAGGAAUGGGUAAAAUGUGACCCUUGUUCUGCCUGGUUUCACCAAACCUGUGGCGAAGAGAAUGGGAUCUGUGCUGACGAUGGGUUCAUUUGCAAAGACUGUGUUUGAAACACCUUUUCAUCACAUACAUACACUAAUGAUAUCAAUGUUUAAUAUAUCAGUUACCAGUUUUGUAUGAAUUUUUGUAGUUUGCGCAUUUCGUUCAAAAUGUGUUCUUCACACACACACACACACACACACACACACUGAUCUGUCACUGAUCUGUCACUGAUCUGUGCUGUUCCAAAAAAAUUUAAUUGCACAUUUGAUAUGUGAGUUUGUACCCACAAUGUGUUUUUAAAGGCACAUAUGAAUAUUUGUUUUGAAAUUGAUGAUAAAUUACCAUUCCCUUUGCAUUUUGACUGGCCGAAACAGCUGGCCCAUUUUACCUUAGAUGCUGGCCCAUUUUACCUGAAACUGCUUAUGCAAAAAAAGUUGGCACAGUUGAUGUUUCAAGAACUAUAGGGCCUAAAUAAUUAUAUUUUAUGACAUAAUUUCAACACAAAAUGAUCAAAAACAGUCAUUAGUAAUCAUAAAAACACUUGGAAAAGGCAUAUAUAGUAUUAUAUUAUUUUCCCAACUGAUUUACCAAAAAGUGGCCCAAUUUAGCUGAUAUCACCCUAU